UCUGACGUCUGUUGCAAUUCGCUAUCUGGUUGCGAAUCCAUCUGUUUGACGUUCCACUGUGUCAAGUGCACCUUAGCGUUGUAUUAAAGAUCUGAAGUGUGUGUGCAAGCAACACAUAGACGUGUCGCAAAUAUCCCGGGAGGAUGCGUUUGUCGCACGGCAGGAUGGGUAAUCGAUUAAGUCGGAUGUAUAUCCACUUACCUGCUUGCUCUCACACCCCGCAGAGCGCAAAUUCCAGAAUCUCAAAGAGGUGGUACACGGUAUCUUAAGACGGGAUGGAUACGACGCUCAAUUUGCACGGAUCUUUGGCUAAGCCUCCAAAGUGAUAACCGAUCUACUAGAUGCAGCCUAGAUUAUACCAAGUUUCACAACGUUGCACGUGCCAUCAGAUCUGUAAUAAAACACAUAAAAUAUAUACAUUAUAAAUUAUAAU